rnacentral:rRNA from 1 species
AACGAACGCUGGCGGCAUGCCUAACACAUGCAAGUCGAACGAGACCUUCGGAUCUAGUGGCGCACGGGUGCGUAACGCGUGGGAACCUGCCUUUAGGUUCGGAAUAACUCAGAGAAAUUUGAGCUAAUACCGGAUGAUGUCUUCGGACCAAAGAUUUAUCGCCUUUAGAUGGGCCCGCGUUGGAUUAGCUAGUUGGUGGGGUAAAGGCCUACCAAGGCGACGAUCCAUAGCUGGUCUGAGAGGAUGAUCAGCCACACUGGGACUGAGACACGGCCCAGACUCCUACGGGAGGCAGCAGUGGGGAAUAUUGGACAAUGGGCGAAAGCCUGAUCCAGCAAUGCCGCGUGAGUGAUGAAGGCCUUAGGGUUGUAAAGCUCUUUUACCCGAGAUGAUAAUGACAGUAUCGGGAGAAUAAGCUCCGGCUAACUCCGUG